AUGAUAGGGGCAUUUUGGAAUAUUCGUGGUCUAGGACAACCUGGAAAAAUUCAGUGCCUAGGAGAUUUCAUUAGUAAUAACCAUGUUGACUUUCUGUGUUUUUCUGAAACUAAAAGAGAAGUUAUUGAGGCUCACAUCCUUAAUGGCAUCUCUGGUAGGAUUUCUUUUGACUGGCAUUAUCUUCCUGCUAUCAACACGGCUGGUGGGAUCCUUGUGGGUCUUAAAAGUGAUUUAUUUGAAGUAGUUGGUUUCAUUAAUAAGAAAUUUUGCAUUGUUGCAACUGUGAAAAACAGAUCGGAUGGUUUCAUGUGGCAUCUUGUUGCGGUAUAUGGUACCUCAUAUAACGAGUUUAAGCUAGAUUUCUUUGCUGAAUUACAUGAUAUCAUGGAUGGGCUUACUUACCCAGCUUUGCUUGGGGGAGAUUUCAACUUAGUCAGGUCUACGGCUGAUAAGAACAAUGGUGUUAUUAAUAGUCAGUUUUCUUACCUCUUUAACAAAUGGUGUCUCAUGGAGAUUAAUAUUGCGAAUAGAAAAUAUACUUGGAGUAAUAAUCAAGAUAGUCCCAUUUUUGCAACUAUAGAUAGGGUUUUUGCUUCCAUUUCUUGGGAUGCCCACUUCCCCUUGUCGGUUGUUUCUGCACUCCCUCGUGUGGGGAGUGACCAUACACCACUGCUGCUAGACACAGGAGCUAGGAGGGUUACCUCCCCGAGAAUUUUUCGCUUUGAGAAAUGGUGGCUUGACCAUCCUGAUUUAAAAAAAAUGGUGAUCGAUACCUGGAACACUUCAGCUCCUGGAAAAACAGCUAUGGAUAUUUGGAUGAAUAAAAGUGAACUUUUUAGGAAAAAAAAGCUAGAGGUUGGAGUAUUAAUAUUGAGGCUGAUAUUAAGAAGAAGAAGAUAG
rnacentral:rRNA from 1 species